rnacentral:tRNA from 1 species
GGGCCUAUAGCUCAGCUGGUAGAGCAACGGCCUUUUAAGCCGUGUGCCGAUGGUUCGAGUCCAUCUGGGCCCA